rnacentral:lncRNA from 10 species
CGGGGAGGCUCAGGGAUUUUCGGCAGCAGCGACUUCAUCCACCCCGGACCGCCGGCUGGAGGACGUGCCUGCAGCCGGCGGGUACCUGCGGCCAAUUCGGUGGAACGAGGACGCGGACUGCGAAGGCAGACUCUAUGUUGAAGAUGCCUGGACUAACCUACUGAAGAUACGUGGUUUUACCAACAGCCAGCACCAAUAGGAAGAUAUGAAUGAAGCCAUCUGAGACCAGCCAUCUGGCAGCCAAACUGCCAACUGACUGCAAAUGCAUGAAUGAUCCCACUGACACCACGUAGAGCACAAAUGAGUUGCCUCCACUGAGCCCAGCCCAAAUU